GUCUCUGAUAGAAACUGGAUAUUCACAAGUAACAUGUGGCAGGCCUUCUUCAAAGCACUACAAGUGAAAUUGAGGUUUAGCUCUGCCUAUCACCCACAAUUAGAUGGCCAGACGGAACGUGUGAAUCAGUGUGUGGAAAAUUACUUGCGUUGCAAGGUUUUUCAGCAACCAAGGAAGUGGGCUAGUUUGGAUCAAGCACAUGCCACUUGGGAGGAUGCCGACUUCAUGAAAGGUCUCUUUCCGGAGUUCUAUACAGCUCCUAUUCAUGGUUGGUGCCCUAAUUCCAACACUUGACAAUGCUUUGGGGGAGGUAUUGUCAUAUCUCAAGAUUACUGUACCUAACUCUCGAUUGAAUUCAGAGUGCUGCCUUUACUUCAUCUGCCAUGAACGGAGCCAAGAGGCUUGCGUUCAUUUCUUUAGUUACUCGCCUGUUUACUUUCCCCAGUAGCCCAGGGUCGGGAGCUAGGACUUCUGAGGUGAACAGUCCCUCAAAGUAACCCUGUAUCAGAGAUGCUAACUGGUCAUUACCUUCGAUCCUAUUGCCGUUUGAGUCAUUCAGAAACUUUAUUAUGUUCUUCUUUUUUCUCCGUUGCAAAAUGAUGUGAUGAAAGAAGCUCAUAUUUCAAUCUCCAUGGCGGAGCCAAUUAGCCCUUCCUCUUUGCAGCCAUUAAUCCAAGUGCAAACUCUCUCAAUUCAGUGUUGGAAGCAGUCGCUCCUAUCCACUCCUACCAGGGAGGGGAGCCCCAAGUAUUUGUCAGUGAGCGAUUCGGUGACAAUAUUCAGCAGGUUGCAUACCUCUUGUCUGUCCCCCCUAUCUGUCUAAGGGUCCUUGGUAAAACUCUCUUCAUUGACGGCAGUACGUGGGUAUCCAUCUUAUCUACGGUUUGCGGGUCAUCCACAUGACCAAAACAAAGGGUACAAAAGCAGUGAAACCGAUAUAUCUGUUGAAGGCGAUCCCACCGGUCCUAUUUAUUAAGUUGCAAUGGCAAGUAUCUUUGGACCCCAAAGAGUUGUAUAAGUUGGAAAAUGGAGAUUUGCCUGUGGCAUUGGCCUUUGGGCAGCUAGCUAUUGCAUUUGAAGGCUCCACAGAAAGAACCCGUAGGUACUAUUACGACAGGUGGCUUCGAAUCCAGUUUGUUAGUCGUUUGCAUCUCGAUUAACAAAAAUAAGCUUGAAUCCCUCCAUUCAUAUUAUCAAACCACUCAUUUUUGAUCUAGAGGAGUUAAACGUAUAAGUGGAUACUGUGCUGGCAAAAACCUAUCUAGUAUUAUACUAUGGAGUUAUUAUAGUCUUGGUCUAGGAGACUAUAUAUUGAACGUAGAUAGGUUAUAUAUUCUUUAGUACUAGAGUAUAUUUACUGCUAUGACUGUAUAUUGGCCCUUUUGAGUAAGACUGAAGAAGAUCUUCUGAGAAUUGACAGUUUUCGUAUGGAAGAUAGAAAACAUAUAUGGGACACUCUAGAGAAGCAUCUCCCAUUUGAUCCUAAAUUGAGCUAGGAGUUGUUUCCGGGCAUACUCAAAAAAAGGGUUAUUAUACACCCCAACCCCAUCCAUUGGAAAAAAGAAGGUAGCACCGAAGAAAGGAAAGAGCGAUAUGGUGGUUUUUGUUGUUCCCGCGAAGCGAAGAUCAUUCGCUUGGCGAAUGAAGUGGAUCAACCUCUUUUUGGCUCGGGCCAAACACUUUUUCUCGCUGGUGGAGCUUUCUAACAAAAAGCGAUGCGAGAGCGUAUUCUCUUAUCUAAGCUUCUUCCCUUCGCUCCCCCCAUCGUAGAUGGUUCAGUCACACCCGGUGCCAUGAAAUGAUUGAGAACUAGGACGGGGUCGAAAUGCAUUUUAUUCUUAGUAUUAAAAAAGUAUUGCAUGACCGAAUAAUUCAAGGAGGGGCGCACAGCGGGGAGGGUCCUUUUUAGUAGAUGACUCGUCGGGACGUCAGAGCGGGACUUGUUUGGUAAAAAUAACUUGAUUCUAUUCCUUUUUAGUAAGGAGGCGGCAUUUCCCAUAAGGAAAGGUAUGUCAUUUACAACCCCGGCGUAUUGAGGCCGCUUGAAGGCCCCGCUCACCCGAAGUGAUUUAUCAAAAUUCUUCUUUCUCGAUGGUGAUCAGUCAUGGUAUCCAUAACGUUGCAUCUUUUUUGCCCAAAUACGGAUUUUGUUUUGCUUCUCCCGGUCGAUCGACUCGACUCUUUUCCCUAUAUUGUAGCUGGAUAAGCUAGAUACCAAAACUUUGAUAAAGAUUAAGGCAACCCAUUUGAGGAAGAACCGGACGGACCCCUGUGGAGAUGGCAUAAACAAUCCUUUGACGAACUUUCUGGGAAUUAUGGAAUUUGAAUGGAUUGAGUACAUCAAGAUGAAGAAAUUAACGUAAUAAGCGAUAUUCUCAAAAGAUUCGGUCAUGCCAGAAACCUCAGUGUGCAUGGCACUAAAAAAGGGUACAAAGAACCUAAGAUGCAAGUAAUGGCUGAAUAGCCGGGGAAAGAAAUGUUCUACAUAUAUCAACAGAUAGGGGAGUAACAAAAGAAGAUCCAGUGCUGGUUCUUAAGAAAGGUCAAGGGUAUAUAGAGAAUUCUUGUUAUGUUAUGUGCAAUUUGAACAUAAAUCUUCUCCCUAUCAAACUCAAUCUUCCGAUGCUUUGCAAACCCUUGGAUUGGCAACCAGUAGAGAGGGGAUCUGAUCCUGAUACAUUAUCAGAUCUGAUAGGAGGUUACUUAUGCAAACCCACGGGGGAUAUCUAGAAUCACUUUCGGCUAUUAACUUCCCAUGACUUAAAUCACUUCUAUAUAAAGUUACAUAAAGAAGAAUACAAGCAGAUGUGUGAUAUUUUGAAUGGGCUUCAGUCUCAAGCGUUUGAAAUAAACAAAAGGCUCUUGAGAUUUCUGGAAAAGAAUCAUCAAUAUUUAGUUGAGUGUGGGCUUCUUUUACCAAAUGCUCUGGCUCGCGUGAAUCCGACAGAAGCCUCAAUCCAUUAUGGCUCGGACCCUCUUAGCAGCUGGAUCCUUCGGGAAGCCAUAGUAGGGAUUACGUCAGUACAUUCUUAGGCGAGCAGUAGGUUAUAUCACCCCUAUUUUGUUUUUGACCUUCAGUCUUUUUUAGGCAUGCGACCAAACCAAGGUUGAUCGAAGUUGAACAUUCCUAUGGAACUCCCCUUCAGACGACUUCUCUGCGCUUGCCCAGCACCUUUCAUUUUAUGGACCAGGACCAAUUUCACCUCAGACCAUGGUCAAGUCAUAACUGACUGGAUAACGUUCUCUCAAGGACCUGCAAAACUCUCUAAUGCGGAUGAUCAAACGUUGCUUCAGAUGUGUAUGAGAAGGAAGCGUCUCACAGGACUCUUAGAUAGAAACCAGCAUAGUCUAUGAAUUAGCAUGAACAGUUUAUUGAACUUGGUUGCACUCGUAAAGCGAGCGUGAAGAGAGUUGCGAAAGAAGCCCACGGAACGGAGCGGUUAUUUUUCUUGACUAGCAAGUGGACAGGCUCAGAUGGCGUAGCUGAUGUGUCAUGCUAGGUAUCUUUUAUUGGCCAAGUCAGGCAGGAUAGUCAAGUAAGAAAAUAGACCAUAAGCCAUCCUUUAUCUUUUUUUUUCUAAGAAAAGAACAAUAAAUAGCUCAUAGUUUCCUUUUAACUGCCCUAAGAGUUGUUCUUCUAUCAUCAGCGAGAGUUUACUUUGCUGUCGAUGCAGGCAAUAAUAGAUAGAUUUCUGCGCCCGGUUCCUGAUCAAGUGUUGGAAAAACCGGAAUAUGAUGCUUUCUACUUCAGCAGUAGGGUUGGCCUGAAGCCAGCCCAUAGAAUAGAUACGGGCGUGUUCUACAUAGGAGUUCUUGUAGAACAUGUUCCAAUCAAACCUCUUUCCCUUCGUCUCCGGUUUUCAAUACGAAACAAGUGUCAUCCUCUUCUCCCAUUGUUUGGAUGGAAUACCCACAUGGAGCUGACCUUCACUUUUUAGAGACAGUGGCAAGCCGAUAAUUUGUAGCCUCCCUGGUUGUUUUCUGGAAAUUUCAGUAGAAGUGAAGCCCUAUAGGAGCUCCCUAAGGACUCUAGCUAAGACCUUUUUGAGACCCUGGGUGACUCGCGUGGACUUAUCCCCUCUCGGUAAGCCGAAGACCAUAUCGUCUGCGUAGCGUGCAUAAUAGAAGACUACGGCCCCAUCCUCUUGGACCAUUACCCUUUCAAGCUUGGCAUCCAAUAUAUGGAGAUAGCAGUGAAUGAGGACAGGUUCAAUCGGGCUUCCGAGCGAUAUUCCUCGCUUCUGGCACAUGUAACUCUUACCUUUUCUAUCUAUGUGUGGUUUUCAUGAAAACCUAUUUUAUCAACCUAUGGACUCCUUUCAAUGACAGAGUCUUUGGAGCAAAUUGGUUCAGGAUUCUAAGGUUAGAAAAGAGUUACCACUCAAGGGAGGAACAGGAUAUGUGGAAGGCUAUCCAGGUGGCUCAAGACUGACCGGUAUACCUGGUCCAGUCUAUAUUGAGCCAUAUUCAUCAAUUCGUCAGGAAAUUUGGCCUCACACAAUGUAUCCCUGUUCCACCAGACGCUUAAUCAACCCUGGAACACAAGAGAACCCUUCUUAUCAAAGAGAAUUGCGUAUUAAACAGAUGAGAGAAAUAGCCCUAAAUAUGUGCAUCGAGUACGCUUUCUUUCGUGGUGUUCAGGAUCCCAUGCUUUGUAGUUCACGCAUGGCUUUCUCUAACGAAGAUAAUGCCGAAUUAAAGACCUUAAAUGGUUGCCCUAACUUUUUCUAUUAGCUCAUCUUGUCUGUAGUGAUAUUUUGGAGAAGGAGCAAUUACCGGAGUGAGAAAGGUAGAAAGAAGCAAUCACGAAAGCUAGUGCUAGUUGUGGCUUUUUGUACUAAUCUUGUUUGUUCGGUAGCUCGCAUCAGCGGCUUUAAAAGGAAUAGAAAACGAGGCUUUUUCCACCACAUCAGGGGUGGGCAUUACGCUCAAGCAGGGGAAGUCAAUUUGACUACUUCUCGAGAACCUGUUUGAACAAGAAGAAGUAGCAUCGCUCCAGCGGGGCUGAUGAUUACCUAUACGUGAUGAUUUUUCAAUCCACAGCUCAUUUUCUUGAAUAUGUGACAAGCCUUGCAAAUUGUGAUAAUAUGUAUCAAAUUAGUGGUCCGCAUAACCCAAUAUUUGAAAAUUAUGGAGGUGCAGGCCCAAGUACUUCGAAUCAUCAACAAGAAAUCCAAGAAAGAACAGCGAAGGAAAAACGUGACAAGAAAAGUGUUUUCUCGACUCGAGAUGUUAGAAGGUGCUAAAUCAAUUGGUGCCGGAGCUGCUACAAUUGCUUUAGCCGGAGCUGCUGUCGGUAUUGGAAACGUCCUCAGUUCUUUGAUUCAUCCCGGUGCACGAAAUCCAUCAUUGGCUAAACAAUCAUUUGGUUAUGCCAUUUUGGGCUUUGCUCUCACCGAAGCUAUUGCAUUGUUUGCCCCAAUGAUGGCCUUUAUGAUCUCAUCCGUUUUCCAAUCGCAUAAAAAGUCAUGAGAUCAAAAAAUAAAUGUGAGAAUGUAGUUAAUGAUGUAAAAAAGCCAAUAUCUCGUUCUCUUGUUCUUAAAUCAUGAAUUGGAUGAUGUGCGUUCCAUCAAGUAUGAACAUAUUGCAUUUUUUGCUAUGCAAUUUCAGUACCGGAUCGAUGUCCAUUUAUUUCUGUGUCCUCAUCCGCGUGUAUGUCUGUGUUAGAUAGGCUCUGGAAGGCCUUACUUUCUAUUGCUCUCUUAUUGGUGGAUUUCCUCCGCUUAAUUUCAAAAUUUACUCAGCCUUUUGAGUACUAGGAUCCCCCCCUUAUCCUAGCAGAUCGGUACCUAGACCAUAUCCUUGGGCAGCUCGGAUGUAUCUGAAGGCCUCAAUUUGAGCAUCUGACCACUGGAAUGAUUCUUUUUUUAGACAGUCAUGAAGUGGCCUAGAAUUUAUCCCAUAAUUCUUGAAAAAUCUUCUUUUUCUGCAGCCAUACCAAGAAAACUCCUCAACUGAGUGAUAGUCUUAGGUGCUGGCCAUUCUUUCAUGGCAACUAUUUUGUGGGGGUCUGUAGAUAGACCCUAUCCUUAGAUAACAUGCCCUAAAUACUCCACUUGAGGGACAGGAAAACUGCAUUUGCUAAUCUUAGAGGAAAUGUCUGGCAUGAAAGUCAAUUACUUGAAGAGUGAUAUUUUUGUUGGAAAUAUGCCCUAGAGGCAAUAAUAAAAGUAUUAUUAUAUUUCAUUGUUCAUGAUAAUUGUCUUUUAUUCAUGCUAUAACUGUAUUAUCCGGAAAUCGUAAUACACGUGUGAAUACUUAGACCACAAUAUGUCCCUGGUAAGCCUCUAGUUGACCAGCUUGUUGUGAUCAACAGAUAGUCAUGGUUUCCUGACUAUGGACAUUGGAUGUCGUUGAUAACGGGAUCACAUCAUUAGGAGAAUGAUGUGAUGGACAAGACCCAAUCCUAAGCAUAGCAUAAAAGAUCGUGUAGUUCGUAUUGCUAGAGCUUUGUCAAUGUCAAGUAUCUCUUCCUUAGACCAUGAGAUCGUGUAACUCCCGGAUACCGUAGAAGUGCCUUGGGUGUAUCAAACGUCACAACGUAACUGGGUGACUAUAAAGGUGCAUUACAGGUAUCUCCAAAAGUAGCUGUUGGGUUGACACGGAUCGAGACUAGGAUUUGUCACUCCGUAUGACGGAGAGGUAUCUCUGGGCCCACUCGGUAAUGCAUCAUCAUAUUGAGCUCAAAGUGACCAAGCUGUUGUACACGGGAUCAUGCAUUACGGUACGAGUAAAGUGACUUGCCGGUAACGAGACUGAACAAGGUAUUGGGAUACCGACGAUCGAGUCUCGGGCAAGUAACGUACCGAUUGACAAAGGGAAUUGCAUACAGGGUUUGAUCGAAUCCUCGACAUCGUGGUUCAUCCGAUGACAACAUCGAGGAGCAUGUGGGAGCCAUCAUGGGUAUCCAGAUCCCGCUGUUGGUUAUUGACUGAGAGCGUCUCGAUCAUGUCUGCAUGUCUCCCGAACCCGUAGGGUCUACACACUUAAGGUUCGGUGACGCUAGGGUUAUGAAGAUAUGUAUAUGCAGAAACCCGAAUGUUGUUCGGAGUCCCGGAUGAGAUCCCGGACGUCACAAGGAGUUCCGGAAUGGUCCGGAGGUAAAGAAUUAUAUAUAGGAAGUGCUAUUUCGGGCAUCGGGACAAGUUUCGGGGUUAUCGGUAUUGUACCGGAACCACCGGAAGGGUCCCGGGGGUCCACCGGGUGGGGCCACCUGUCCCGGGGGGCCACAUGGGUUGUAGGGGGUGCGCCUUGGCCUUCAUGGGCCAAGGGCACCAGCCCCUAUAGGCCCAUGCGCCUAGGGUUUCCCCCUAGGAGGAGUCCUAGUGGUGGAAGGCACCCCUAGGUGCCUUGGGGGGGAGGGAAACCUCCCCUAGGCCGCCGCCCCCCUAGUAGAUCUCAUCUACUAGGGCCGGCGCCCCCCCUGGCACCCCUAUAUAUAGUGGGGGAGAGGAGGGACUUCACACACCAGCCCCUGGCGCCUCCAUCUCCCCCCGUUACGUCUCUCCCUCGUAGUCUCGGUGAAGCCCUGCUGCUGUGACGCCCUGCAUCCACCACCACGCCCGUCGUGCUGCUGGAUCUUCAUCAACCUCUCCUUCCCCCUUGCUGGAUCAAGAAGGAGGAGACGUCUCCCGUCCCGUACGUGUGUUGAACGCGGAGGUGCCGUCCGUUCGGCGCUGGUCAUCGGUGAUUUGGAUCACGUCGAGUACGACUACAUCAUCACCUUGCAAGCUUCCGCACGCGAUCUACAAGUGGUAUGUAGAUGCAAACUCUCUCUCUUGACUCGUUGCUUAGAUGAACUCAUAGAUGGAUCUUGGUGAAACCGUAGGAAAAAUUUUAAUUUUCUGCAACGUUCCCCAACAGUGGCAUCAUGAGCUAGGUCUAUGCGUAGUUCUCUUUGCAUGAGUAGAACACAAUUAUGUUGUGGGCGUGGAUUUUGUCAUCUUACUUGCCUCUACUAGUCUUUUCUUGCUCAACGGUAUUGUGGGAUGAAGCGGCCCGGACCAACCUUACACGUACGCUUACGUGAGACCGGUUCCACCGACUGACAUGCACAAGUUGCAUAAGGUGGCUGGCGGGUGUCUGUCUCUCCCACCUUAGUUGGAGCGGAAUCGAUGAACAGGGCCCUUAUGAAGGGUAAAUAGAAGUUGACAAAAUCACGUUGUGGUGAUUCGUAGGUAAGAAAACGUUCUUGCUAGAACCCAAUUGCAGCCACGUAAAAGAUGCAACAACAAUUAGAGGACGUCUAACUUGUUUUUGCAGCAAUUGAUCAUGUGAUGUGAUAUGGCCAGAAGUUGUGAUGAAUGAUGAAUUGUGAUGUAUGAGAUCAUGUUCUUUGUAAUAGGAUUCACGACUUGCAUGUCGAUGAGUAUGACAACCGGCAGGAGCCAUAGGAGUUGUCAUUAUUUUUUUGUAUGACCUGCGUGUCAUUGUAUAACGUCAUGUAAACUACUUUACUUUAUUGCUAAACGUUAGUCAUAGAAGUAGAAGUAGUCGUUGGCGUGACAACUUCAUGAAGACACGAUGAUGGAGAUCAUGAUGAUGGAGAUCAUGGUGUCAAGCCGGUGACAAGAUUAUCAUGGAGCCCCGAAGAUGAAGAUCAAUGGAGCUAUAUGAUAUUGGCCAUAUCAUGUCACAACUAUAUAAUUGCAUGUGAUAUUUAUUAUGUAUUAUGCAUCUUGUUUACUUAGGACGACGGUAGUAAAUAAGAUGAUCCCUUAUAAAAUUUCAAGAAGUGUUCUCCCCUAACUGUGCACCGUUGCUACAGUUCGUCGCUUCUAAGCACCACGUGAUGAUCGGGUGUGAUGGAUUCUUACGUUCACAUACAACGGGUGUAAGACAGUUUUACACAGCGAAAACACUUAGGGUUAACUUGACGAGCCUAGCAUGUGCAGACAUGGCCUCGGAACACGGAGACCAAAAGGUCGAACACGAGUCGUAUGGAAGAUACGAUCAACAUGAGAAUGUUCACCGACGAUGACUAGUCCGUCUCACGUGAUGAUCGGACACGGGCUAGUCAACUCGGAUCGUGUAAACACUUAGAUGACUAGAGGGAUGUCUAAUCUAAGUGGGAGUUCAUAAUUUGAUUAGAACUUUAUUAUCAUGAACUUAGUCUAAAACCUUUGCAAAUAUGUCUUGUAGAUCAAUGGCCAACGCUAAUGUCAACAUGAACUUCAACGCGUUCCUAGAGAAAACCAAGCUGAAAGAUGAUGGCAGCAACUAUACGGACUGGGUCCGGAACCUGAGGAUCAUCCUCAUAGCUGCCAGGAAACAAUAUGUCCUAGAAGGACCGCUAGGUGACGCUCCCGUCCCAGAGAACCAAGACAUUAUGAAUGCUUGGCAGUCUCGUGCUGAUGAUUACUCCCUCGUUCAGUGUGGCAUGCUUUACAGCUUAGAACCGGGGCUCCAAAAGCGUUUUGAGCACCACGGAGCAUAUGAGAUGUUCGAAGAGCUGAAACUAGUUUUUCAAGCUCAUGCCCGGGUCGAGAGAUAUGAUGUCUCCGACAAGUUCUACAGUUGUAAGAUGGAGGAAAACAGUUCUGUCAGUGAACACAUCCUGAAGAUGUCUGGGUUGCACAACCGUAUGACCCAGCUGAACAUUAACCUCCCAGAUGAGGCGGUCAUUGACAGAAUCCUCCAGUCGCUCCCACCAAGCUACAAGAGCUUUGUGAUGAACUACAACAUGCAGGGGAUGGAAAAGACCAUUCCUGAAGUGUUCUCGAUGCUGAAGUCAGCAGAGGCUGAAAUCAAGAAAGAACAUCAAGUGUUGAUGGUCAAUAAGACCACUAAGUUCAAGAAGGGCAAGGGUAAGAAGAACUUUAAGAAGGACGGCAAAGAUGUUGCCGCGCCUGGUAAGCCAGUUACCGGGAAGAAGUCAAAGAAUGGACCCAAGCCUGAGACUGAGUGCUUUUAUUGCAAGGGGAAGGGUCACUGGAAGCGGAACUGCCCCAAAUACUUAGCGGAUAAGAAGGCCGGCAACACCAAAGGUAUAUUUGAUAUACAUGUGAUUGAUGUGUACCUUACCAGUAAUCGUAGUAACUCCUGGGUAUUUGAUACCGGUGCCGUUGCUCAUAUUUGUAACUCACAGCAGGAGCUGCGGAAUAAACGGAGACUGGCAAAGGACGAGGUGACGAUGCGCGUCGGGAAUGGUUCCAGAGUCGAUGUGAUCGCCGUCGGCACGCUGCCUCUACAUUUACCUACGGGAUUAGUUUUGAACCUUAAUAAUUGUUAUUUAGUGCCAAGUUUGAGCAUGAACAUUGUAUCAGGAUCUUGUUUAAUAUGAGAUGGCUACUCAUUUAAGUCUGAGAAUAAUGGUUGUUCGAUUUAUAUGAGAGAUAUGUUUUAUGGUCAUGCUCCGAUGGUCGAUGGUUUAUUCUUAAUGAAUCUCGAGCGUAAUAUUACACAUGUUCAUAGUGUAGAUGCCAAAAGAUUUAAAGUUGAUAACGAUAGUCCCACAUACUUGUGGCACUGCCGCCUUGGUCACAUUGGUGUCAAGCGCAUGAAGAAGCUCCAUGCCGAUGGACUUUUAGAGUCUCUUGAUUAUGAAUCGUUUGACACGUGCGAACCAUGCCUUUUGGGCAAAAUGACCAAGACUCCGUUCUCCGGAACAAUGGAGCGAGCAACCAACUUGUUGGAAAUCAUACAUACCGAUGUGUGCGGUCCAAUGAGCGUUGAGGCUCGCGGAGGAUAUCGUUAUGUUCUCACUCUCACAGAUGACUUGAGUAGAUAUGGGUAUGUCUACUUAAUGAAACACAAGUCUGAGACCUUUGAAAAGUUCAAGGAAUUUCAGAAUGAGGUAGAGAAUCAACGUGACCGAAAGAUAAAAUUCUUACGAUCAGAUCGUGGAGGAGAAUACUUAAGUCACGAAUUUGGUACACACUUAAGGAAAUGUGGAAUCGUUUCACAGCUCACGCCGCCUGGAACACCUCAGCGAAACGGUGUGUCCGAACGUCGUAAUCGCACUCUGUUGGAUAUGGUGCGGUCUAUGAUGUCUCUUACCGAUUUACCGCUAUCAUUUUGGGGAUACGCUCUAGAGACAGCUACAUUCACUUUAAAUAGGGCACCGUCUAAAUCCGUUGAGACGACACCGUAUGAAUUAUGGUUUGGAAAGAAACCUAAGCUGUCGUUUCUAAAAGUUUGGGGAUGCGAUGCUUAUGUCAAGAAACUUCAACCUGAAAAGCUCGAACCCAAGUCGGAAAAAUGCAUAUUCAUAGGAUACCCUAAGGAAACUGUCGGGUAUACCUUCUACUUAAGAUCCGAAGGCAAGAUCUUUGUAGCCAAGAACGGAUGCUUUCUGGAAAAAGAAUUUCUCUCGAAAGAAGUAAGUGGGAGGAAAGUAGAACUCGAUGAAGUACUACCUCUUGAGCAGGAAAGUGGCGCAGCGCAGGAAAUCUUUCCUGUGAUGCCCACACCAACUGAAGAGGAAAACAAUGAUGAUGAUCAAGGUACUUCGGAUCAAGUUACUGCUGAACUUCGUAGGUCCACAAGGACACGUUCCGCACCAGAGUGGUAUGGUAACCCUGUCCUGGAAAUCAUGUUGUUAGACAACAAUGAACCUUCGAACUAUGAAGAAGCAAUGGCGGGCCCGGAUUCCAACAAAUGGCUUGAAGCCAUGAAAUCUGAGAUAGAAUCCAUGUAUGAAAACAAAGUAUGGACUUUGACAGACUUGCCCGAUGAUCGGCGAGCGAUAGAAAACAAAUGGAUCUUUAAGAAGAAGACGGACGCGGAUGGUAAUAUUACCAUCUAUAAAGCUCGACUUGUCGCUAAGGGUUAUCGACAGGUUCAAGGGAUUGACUACGACGAGACAUUCUCUCCCGUAGCGAAGCUAAAGUCCGUCCGAAUCAUGUUAGCAAUUGCCGCAUACUAUGAUUAUGAGAUAUGGCAGAUGGACGUCAAAACAGCAUUCCUUAACGGGCAUCUUAAGGAAGAACUGUAUAUGAUGCAGCCAGAAGGUUUUGUCGAUCCUCGGAACGCUAACAAAGUAUGCAAGCUCCAGCGUUCCAUUUAUGGACUGGUGCAAGCAUCUCGGAGUUGGAACAUUCGCUUUGAUGAGAUGAUCAAAGCGUUUGGGUUUAUGCAGACUUAUGGAGAAGCCUGCGUUUACAAGAAAGUGAGUGGGAGCUCUGUAGCAUUUCUCAUAUUAUAUGUAGAUGACAUACUCCUGAUGGGAAAUAAUAUAGAAUUUCUGGACAGCAUUAAGGCCUACUUGAAUAAGUGUUUUUCAAUGAAGGACCUUGGAGAAGCUGCUUAUAUAUUAGGCAUCAAGAUCUAUAGAGAUAGAUCGAGACGCCUCAUAGGUCUUUCACAAAGCACAUACCUUGAUAAGAUUUUGAAGAGAUUCAGAAUGGAUCAGUCCAAGAAGGGGUUCUUGCCUAUGUUACAAGGUAUGAGACUGAGAUCAGCUCAGUCACCGACCACGGCAAAAGAUAAAGAAGAGAUGAGUGUCAUCCCCUAUGCUUCAGCCAUAGGAUCUAUUAUGUAUGCCAUGCUGUGUACCAGACCCGAUGUAAACCUUGCCGUAAGUUUGGUAGCAAGAUACCAAAGUAAUCCCGGCAAGGAACACUGGACAGCGGUCAAGAAUAUCCUGAAGUACCUGAAAAGGACGAAGGACAUGUUUCUCGUUUAUGGAGGAGACGAAGAGCUCGUCGUAAAGGGUUACGUCGACGCUAGCUUCGACUCAGAUCUGGAUGACUCUAAGUCACAAACCGGAUACGUGUAUAUGUUGAAUGGUGGAGCAGUAAGCAGGUGCAGCUGCAAGCAGAGCGUCGUGGCGGGAUCUAUGUGUGAAGCGGAGUACAUGGCAGCCUCGGAGGCAGCACAUGAAGCGAUUUGGGUGAAGGAGUUCAUCACCGACCUACGAGUCAUACCCAAUGCGUCGGGGCCGAUCAAACUCUUCUGUGACAACACUGGAGCUAUUGCCCUCGCCAAGGAGCCCAGGUUUCACAAGAAGACCAGGCACAUCAAGCGUCGUUUCAACUCCAUCCGUGAGAAUGUUCAAGAUGGAGACAUAGAGAUUUGCAAAGUGCACACGGAUCUGAAUGUCACAGAUCCGCUGACUAAACCUCUCUCGCGUGCAAAACAUGAUCAACACCAGAACUCUAUGGGUGUUCGAUUCAUCACAAUGUAACUAGAUUGGUGACUCUAGUGCAAGUGGGAGACUGUUGGAAAUAUGCCCUAGAGGCAAUAAUAAAAGUAUUAUUAUAUUUCAUUGUUCAUGAUAAUUGUCUUUUAUUCAUGCUAUAACUGUAUUAUCCGGAAAUCGUAAUACACGUGUGAAUACUUAGACCACAAUAUGUCCCUGGUAAGCCUCUAGUUGACCAGCUUGUUGUGAUCAACAGAUAGUCAUGGUUUCCUGACUAUGGACAUUGGAUGUCGUUGAUAACGGGAUAACAUCAUUAGGAGAAUGAUGUGAUGGACAAGACCCAAUCCUAAGCAUAGCAUAAAAAAUCGUGUAGUUCGUAUUGCUAGAGCUUUGUCAAUGUCAAGUAUCUCUUCCUUAGACCAUGAGAUCGUGUAACUCCCGGAUACCGUAGAAGUGCCUUGGGUGUAUCAAACGUCACAACGUAACUGGGUGACUAUAAAGGUGCAUUACAGGUAUCUCCGAAAGUAGCUGUUGGGUUGACACGGAUCGAGACUAGGAUUUGUCACUCCGUAUGACGGAGAGGUAUCUCUGGGCCCACUCGGUAAUGCAUCAUCAUAUUGAGCUCAAAGUGACCAAGGUGUUGGACACGGGAUCAUGCAUUACGGUACGAGUAAAGUGACUUGCCGGUAACGAGACUGAACAAGGUAUUGGGAUACCGACGAUCGAGUCUCGGGCAAGUAACGUACCGAUUGACAAAGGGAAUAGCAUACAGGGUUUGAUCGAAUCCUCGACAUCGUGGUUCAUCCGAUGACAACAUCGAGGAGCAUGUGGGAGCCAUCAUGGGUAUCCAGAUCCCGCUGUUGGUUAUUGACUGAGAGCGUCUCGGUCAUGUCUGCAUGUCUCCCGAACCCGUAGGGUCUACACACUUAAGGUUCGGUGACGCUAGGGUUAUGAAGAUAUGUAUAUGCAGAAACCCGAAUGUUGUUCGGAGUCCCGGAUGAGAUCCCGGACGUCACAAGGAGUUCCGGAAUGGUCCGGAGGUAAAGAAUUAUAUAUAGGAAGUGCUAUUUCGGGCAUCGGGACAAGUUUCGGGGUUAUCGGUAUUGUACCGGGACCACCGGAACGGUCCCGGGGGUCCACCGGGUGGGGCCACCUGUCCCGGGGGGCACAUGGGCUGUAGGGGGUGCGCCUUGGCCUUCAUGGGCCAAGGGCACCAGCCCCUAUAGGCCCAUGCGCCUAGGGUUUCCCCCUAGGAGGAGUCCUAGUGGUGGAAGGCACCCCUAGGUGCCUUGGGGGGGAGGGAAACCUCCCCUAGGCCGCCGCCCCCCUAGUAGAUCUCAUCUACUAGGGCCGGCGCCCCCCCUGGCACCCCUAUAUAUAGUGUGGGAGAGGAGGGACUUCACACACCAGCCCCUGGCGCCUCCAUCUCCCCCCGUUACGUCUCUCCCUCGUAGUCUCGGCGAAGCCCUGCUGCUGUGACGCCCUGCAUCCACCUCCACGCCGUCGUGCUGCUGGAUCUUCAUCAACCUCUCCUUCCCCCUUGCUGGGUCAAGAAGGAGGAGACGUCUCCCGUCCCGUACGUGUGUUGAACGCGGAGGUGCCGUCCGUUCGGCGCUGGUCAUCGGUGAUUUGGAUCACAUCGAGUACGACUACAUCAUCACCUUGCAAGCUUCCGCACGCGAUCUACAAGUGGUAUGUAGAUGCAAACUCUCUCCCUUGACUCGUUGCUUAGAUGAACUCAUAGAUGGAUCUUGGUGAAACCGUAGGAAAAAUUUUAAUUUUCUGCAACGUUCCCCAACAAUUUUCACAGUAGGGUUGAGUGUAGAGGAGGAGCAAAGGGUAGCUGAUAUAACUGUGAGAUAGGAAAAUUUCCAAUAAAAUAUAAUAUCUGGGAUUACCAAUUAGCAAAGACAAGAUCU
rnacentral:lncRNA from 1 species